UACGUAGGUGGCAAGCGUUGUCCGGAUUUACUGGGCGUAAAGAGCGCGCAGGUGGUCGUUCAAGUCGCGUGUGAAAGCCCCCGGCUCAACUGGGGAGGGUCACGCGAUACUGAUCGACUCGAAGGCAGGAGAGGGUAGUGGAAUUCCCGGUGUAGUGGUGAAAUGCGUAGAUAUCGGGAGGAACACCAGUGGCGAAGGCGACUACCUGGCCUGUUCUUGACGCUGAGGCGCGAAAGCUAGGGGAGCAAACGGG
rnacentral:rRNA from 1 species